CUCAAGUCUUCAUUACCUAUAAAAUGAGUAUUUGAUGGUACUGGAAGAGCACCUUGAUGAAAGAGGAAAGAGAAAUGACACUACUGAAUUUCUUGUUUCAAAAUGCAGGGGACCUAAGGGAAGGCCAUUGGAAGAAGUUCAGCUGAGAACUUCCUGAAUAUGCAAGAAAGGAUUCAACCAGCACUGUUUGCAUUUCUGCUCUCCUCCUGCAUCAGCAACAGUGGAAAGCUGUCAUCUUUACUAAGGAUAAUACUACAGGGACUGGAAUUUACUGAAUUUGUUUCUCUGCCUUGUACCUCCGUUUUUGAUGUUCUCCAAGGUUCCAUCUCCUGCCCACACUCAUCAGAAUAACACAAUUUUAUAUGAACUUUUUUCUAAGUUAGAAAGUCCAGGUAUAAACAUGGCUCAGAAAUUUACCUCCACGACCUUGGGGAAGGGACUGACUUGUCUAAUUUUCUGCAUACUCUUCUGGAAAAUGGAAACCAGAGUUCACUACCCAGAUGCUGGGGCAAAGACCCCUUCCAAGACAUCCACAAAUUCAGCAAAGCUAUUCAGCCAUAGAGCCAAAGUGUUGGACAAAUGCCUAGAUCCCGUUGGCCUGAGCCAAAUAAGUUUUUUGACCUGUGAAGAUUGGCUUCUGAGGGAAGAAAAGUUCAGGAAGUGGACUCAUUCAUCAGCAUGUCCAGAUGCUUUGAGUGAGAAAUGCAAAC
rnacentral:lncRNA from 1 species